UGAGGAAUAUUGGUCAAUGGGCGAGAGCCUGAACCAGCCAAGUAGCGUGCAGGAUGACGGCUCUAUGGGUUGUAAACUGCUUUUAUAUGGGAAUAAAGUGAGGGACGUGUCCCUUAUUGCAUGUACCAUACGAAUAAGGACCGGCUAAUUCCGUGCCAGCAGCCGCGGUAAUACGGAAGGUCCAGGCGUUAUUCGGUUUUAUUGGGUUUAAAGGGAGCGUAGGCUGUUUGUUAAGCGUGUUGUGAAAUGUAAGAGCUCAACUUUUAGAUUGCAGCGCGAACUGGCAGACUUGAGUGCGCACAACGUAGGCGGAAUUCAUGGUGUAGCGGUGAAAUGCUUAGAUAUCAUGACGAACUCCGAUUGCGAAGGCAGCUUACGGGAGCGCAACUGACGCUAAAGCUCGAAGGUGCGGGUAUCGAACAGG
rnacentral:rRNA from 1 species